ACUUGGGGAAGGGUACCACUAGACGUCAUAGGAUGAAUAGGAAAAACUCGACGUUUAUCGACACCAACGGAGAGGAGGAGUAUUCUGAGGGGAAUCAUCUGGUAUUACCAAAUGAUCUGCGGGGAACCAUCAACUAUACGUCAUAGGACGCACACGAAAAACUCGACGUUUAUCGACACCAACGGAGAGGAGAAAACUUCUGGGGACGACCCUGUGGGGAAAGAUAUCAACUAUACGCCAACGGACGCGUAGGAAAAACUCGACGUUUAUCGACACCAACGGAGAGG
rnacentral:lncRNA from 1 species